UACGUAGGAUGCAAGCGUUGUCCGGAAUUAUUGGGCGUAAAGCGAACGUAGGCGGUUACUUAAGUCUGGUCUUAAAGACCGGGGCUCAACCCCGGGAGUGGACUGGAUACUGGGUGACUCGAGGAUGUCAGAGGAAAGUGGAAUUCCAAGUGUAGCGGUGAAAUGCGUAGAUAUUUGGAGGAACACCAGUGGCGAAAGCGGCUUUCUGGGACAUUCCUGACGCUGAGGUUCGAAAGCUCGGGGAGCAAACAGG
rnacentral:misc_RNA from 1 species